UUCAGCCAACUAAAAGGGCUCUUAAAUCUCACAUAAAAGUGAGAAUUUUGGGCAAAUUUCAAAGUCUUGGAGUACCAAUCGAAGUUCGGGCAACGCAUAGUCAUGAAUAUAAUUUCAUUUUGGAGUUGGAGGAGCAUGGGAAUAAGUAAAUGUUGAAGAUUUUGCUACUUUCAUAAAAAUAAGAUUACGAAGCUACGAAUAAUUCUUAAGAGAGGUGCAAGACGGGAAGUAAGUUAGAAGUCGAGAAUUAUCCUUCAGGUGCAUACAGAUGAGUAGAAGACAUUGCUAGAAGAUGUUCCAGCGGGAUUGGCGAGCUCCAUUUCUUUCCGGAGUGUUGCCGAGUCAGAGUACCCAUGUCAUGGUAUAAUGAUUUAUGUUAGAGACUUUGUAGACAGAGUCACGUAUUUAGCCUGCCAGUCUUGUAUGCGGCUAUAUUAGCCGAUGUAUUCAUUAUGCAUCACUUUACAUAUUUAUAUGAUUACAAAUUUUAUUUGA